UCCUUAAAAAUACUAAAAACAACAAAGUAGUUGAUGUACCUAUUAUGGAAACAGAAAUUGAAUUGUUAAGUUCUUACUGAUUCCCGUUGUUUUGAUGGAUUGUUCCUUCUGGGUAAGUGUAAAUUGCAGUUUUUCCGUUUGGUGAUGUCCUGGUGGGGCUGGACAGAGGGGGUCAUCGCCUCCAUGUGUCCCCUACGUCCUGUCUGCUUGCUGACAGGGAGGGCACAGCCCAUUCUGACCCCUGGCUCUCACUCCCCUGAGGUGGCUAACUUCAUUUCUGCAAAAUCGAGUUAGAGCCUAGAUUAUCCCUGCAUAUUCAGCAGCCCUCCCUGUUUCAUCUUCCACCUACACACCCAUCAAAUCAACACACACACACUAUUCAGAUACAUAUUCAUGACUACCAACCUUGAAAUAAUGCUAUAUAUGCUAUGUAUUUUGCUGCAGACAAUGUUUGGGGCAGAGCUCACAUUUAUUCGGCGUACUUGACAGGACAGCUGUCAUAUGUAUAGAUUCCUUGUGUGUUUUUUAAUAAAUCAGCUUUACCAGAGUUGUGCAAUGCACCAUAAAUCACUUAUUGUCUUGAUGCAGACAAUUUUACAGGAUCUCUCCCAUCUUUCGUCCUCCGUUGCCACUGUGUGUGCGCGCGGGGAGCACGAUGCCUCGGCUCUUAUGAAAGCUUUAUUGGAUUCCACCAUCCCCAAAGGGAAAACGCUUUAAAUGUCUUUGCAAUUAUACCUCUAAUAACAGCGCUGUGCACUUGGGCCAAGCCAAUGAUAAGGAACUGCAAGUUAGUCAGUCAAUAGAGGGGCUAUUAAUCUCUGUCACCUGCCUGUCAAGAUGAGUCGGGAAUCAACAGAGGUGUCUCUUGACCUAUGUAUGCGUCCCGGCACUGUUGAUGAACUCAGUCAGAGCAUCAGUCUUUAUCGGCGAGGGUGGCGUAUGUCUACAGACCGGAGGAGAGAAUUUUACAUGCUCUCACAGGACCCGCUUUAGGCUGAAGCCUUUAGACAUGGAGAUGAGGAGAGAUGGUCGAGAACGCAGACGAUUAUUAGUUGCCACCGUUUGUAAUUUGCUCUUGCCUUAUACGCUCACCGGCGUGACAUCACCUGUCUCUUUUUCUUGACAUCGCCUCUAUAUUGUUAAAACGUGCCCUGAAGUGGUUAUUUACUAUAUAAUAUGCAAAUUAGGAUAGAUAUAUCUAUUUUCUGAAGUAGGCCUGUUUCACUAAUGAUUUUAACAUAAUAAUUCAUCUUCAAAUGAUAAUUCUGUCAUCACUCAAUCUCAUGUCAUUUCAAACACAAAAGGAGAUGUAUAUUUUUUGUGGCAAACAGAUCAAAAUGUAAUGUUAUGGCACAUUUCCAGGGUCAGUACAGUAUGGUUUGCUAUGAUUUAGGAUUGUACACCCUGAUCUGGCUUGCAUUUCCACUGCCAACAGUAGCCUUACUUGAUUGGUGUGGUGUAUGCAAGAAAGUAGCGAUCAAUGCAUUCUUGCAGAAAGAAGAAAGCGCAACAUUGGGUGCUUCUCAAUAAUCAAAUUGAUGCUUCCUCGCUCCUCUAUCUUCGAGUCUGUGUCCCGGAAACCAAUCAAACUCAGCCAUCUUGAAAGACAUCUCAAUUCUCUAACAGCACCAGGAGGAGCUAUGAGCAAAGAUAUACAGGUGUAUCCUAUGCGGAAGUUUUUCUUGUCGAAAAACCUGACGCACGUAUAAAUUCUUCUCCCCCUUCGCAUCUGUCGUAAUCAUUUUAAUUUACAUUCUACCUUCGCAGUUUAAAUAAACCAUGCAUGUCAUAUAUUUCAACAGAGCAUCUUGCUUUAUUAAUAUUUAUUAUGAAUAUCUUAAAUAAACUUUAACAACAUAAGGCCAGAUCCAUUUGGCGCAACUGAUGACGCUUUGAAGUGAUGCUUGAGUGAUCAAGAAUAUUCCAAUGUACAAAUAACUGUUCCUUUGACUCCUCUGUCCUCACUUUCUUUCCUUGCAUCCUUCCUUCAUAUCCUAAGGGGGUAGAGCUAAGACGCGAGGAAAUGUAGGGAGGAAAAGAAACGAGGAUGCACAAAUAAGAAAUGAGAAGCACCCAUAGUCUGUGUGAAGAUAUAAAAUAUUAAAUACACUGCUAUACUUUUUGUGUCUGCGCACUCGAUGUAAACAAGCCCAACACUCAUGAGCAGCAUGACAGAACGAGUGAAGAUGUUUCAUUCCCCUUGUGUCGUCAUUCCCUUUUUAGCAUGUGCAAGUGACGAUUCUCUGUCAACCAAUCAACGUUUUGCAGUGAGUCUAGCUCCACCCUUUAGGUACCGGACUAUGCUAGGUACCUCAACAGAAGGGUCCCAAAAAAGUGGUAUUGUACUGUACUGAACUGUACUGUUCAGUGGAAAAGAGCCAUAAACUACUAAAAUCUGGCUUCUGUGGUUGAAAUAGAAAUUUGCAAGAUACUUGCAGAGCAAAUGUAUCGGGACACCACUAUGGAUUAUAGACCCUCUGAAUAGCAUAGAAAUUGUGAUCUGGGGGGUUCUCUCCCAAUUGGCCCCCUCUCUGACCAGGGUCCUUGGAAUCAUCAUGACCCUACACCCCCCCCCCAUUCAACCCUUUAUUGAAUUCUUUGCGCAUACACAUAUUCAAACUUGUUGGGUCUCAACGCAUAUUGACUUCAACCAAGUCACACCAAAGAAGUGGUUCACACAGUCUCAUAACUGAACAAAAUGUGGGAUGCAGGAUUUUAAACAAGCAUCCUGUCGUAUUGUUCUUUCUUUCACUCCUUCUUUCUUUCUGUUGUCCUUUCUUCCUCCCAUCUUCUUCUGUGCAUUCCUCUGAUGGGCUCCCACUUUCUUGUUGCCAUUUCUCAUUCCUGGAUCAAACACUCAUCAUGACCAACCCUUGUUCUUUCCCAUCUUCCGUCUCCCAUCUCUCUGUGACCUUCUUUGCCUUCUCUCACUGUUUGAUGAGGGGAAUGCAAUUUGAAAUUGCCCCCUGCUGCCACGGUUCUCUUAAAUGUCCGGGUCACGCAGACAAUUCCUGAGCCGGAUAGGAGAAAGAACUAAAAGUAAAACAGAUGAAAAGAGAGGGGGGAAAAACAUGAUGUAGUUGAUUGCUGCUGCAGUUUACAUAAUGAAAUGUGUGACCCGGAGGGUCUCAAUAUAUGGAAAUCUUUUGGAGAUAUUUGUUGUGAUCUUUACAGAUUUUAUAAAGGUCACCCGGUGUUGUGAGAGCAAGCUGAAAGGGAGUUCGCUGUGUUAGUGCUGAUCAUAAUGCCAGGGCACAUCGUGACCCCUGAAAACAAACAGACUGUUGAAAUGCAAGAUACAGGACGAGAGCGAGAGAGAUACACAGAGAAGUGAAAAAUUCAGCGGGUAUGCCAAAGAGGAAGCACUGCAAGGUAUUACACAGUGUUCCAUCCAAGACAUUCCACCUUUCUCCAUUCAUUUUUAAUGUGCCAUAUAUCUCUGCUACACUGAAACAUGACAUCUACCCUGAAGUGUGGGAGACUUUCAUCAGGGAUUCUGUGUGCAUGUGUGUGUGUGUGUGUGUGUGUGUGUGUGUGUGUGUGUGUGUGUGUGUGUGUGUGUGUGUGUGUGUGUGUGUGUGAGUGCGUCUGUCUUGGUAAUAGAAAUAGAUCUAGAGGCCUGUGAGUAGCAAUACCUUUCGAAUGUGUAUUUAUGUCAAUGAGGCUACAGAUUUGCAUGUGCAUAACGAAUGAAAGAUUAAGACAGAGAGCAUAGUGCUUUAAGACAGAGUGUAAGAUGUCUUGCUCUCACUCACAUACACACACUUACACACCCUUUCCAUCAUCUGUGCUGUAAAAGUUAAAUGCCUUGGGCCAUCCCUGCUCAGCUCUAAAUGCUGUUGAACGUCAUUGUUUGACUGCCGCUGUAAAAACAGAGUGCCUCACUCGUUCUUCCACUUAUCACUUCAUCCCUCCAUCUGAUCCCUCCACUCUAUAUCUCGUAAAUCUGCUAUCCUCAUGCGCUUGCUCUCCUUCCACUUCAUAUAUCCAUAUCAUAUUCAUUUACUCUUCUGUAUGAGGUUCCCUGUUAUCAAUGUGAGCUUUACAGCUUUAUUUUCUUUGGUAUAUGCACAUUUUCCUCUGAUAAUUUCUCUUUUUGUCUUCCCACACACUUAACCAUUCUCAUUGCCUCCUUUCUUUGUUAUUUAUUUAUUUGUUUGUUUUGGAGAAAGUGCUUUAUCACAUUUGGGAAUGCAUGCUUAAAGAGAUGUAAAUUUAUGCAAAUGUAUGGCUGAAAAAUGAGGAGUCACCUUCUCACAAAGUACAAAGAACAGCAGCGACUCGUUACAAUAUUACCCUUUGUUAUGAAUCUGCAGAAUAAUAAUUAAGAAUGAUUUGUGGACUGAGCAAAAAAUGUUUUUUUCUAGUGGUUAAAUAACUGGUAAGACUUCACCUAGACCCCAGCUGAUAUUCAGCAGUCUGGCUGAUUAGACUCCUGUGUAAUUUCGCCCAGUGGCGGUUUUUAAUCAUACCACAGGUAGUUGCCAGCACUUAUUUGCACAAUUGCCACUUCUAAAAAUUAAUGCAUACACCCAUGUUUUUCUCUAUGAGACUGUGCUUGCAUAUGCAUAUGUAUUGAGAAAUUAUGCAUUUAUUAAGGAUCAUUUUGAAAUUUUGCAUACAGAUGCAUACAGUACAUGUUUUUUAGCAAACAAAAUAUUAAUAUAAAAAUAUUUGACAGUGAAAUGAAUGUCAUUGCCACCCUGAAGGACCUUCUGUCACAUUACAGUGCUGACAGUGAUGAUGCAGACUGCAGUACAUGACCCUGCUGGGGUCAGAGGUCAUUCAAGAGGGGUCACUGCAGACUCUAUGCCCUGACACAGUGAUUGACAGAUGAGUAUGUCUCUGCAGCAUAGGUCAAGAUGCACAGUGUGCCACUACAGCGGGUCAACUGAUGCAGCCCUUGGCUGACGCAGCAGGGUCCUGAGCUGGGGUUGUUUGUAGAAGUUCACUUCAAAACAAAAUUGUUUAACUUGAAUGUUCUGCAUCAUCAUUCAACAGACAACACAUGAGCUGCACAGGGAAAUGAGAGGACAGAGGGAUGCCUGCCACACCAAUCCUCUCAUUAUUCAUCAACAGCUUGGCAAUGCUCUUAGCUAUCUGCAUAUUCACAGGGAAUUGUGGGAGAUGUUGUCCUCUGGGGCCCAGACGGGUUGCCGCAUCUGCUUUGCUCUUGAAAAGUCAUUGAGUGAGUCAGAGAGGAGUCCAGGCAGACGCCGUCUUCUCUGACUGCGUUGUCUUAAACUGUUCAGCUCCACAGCAUUAAGCAUCCUCUCUGUUUAAUGAGCGUCUGCACAGCGAGAAGAAGUGCGUCGACACUCUCCUCGCCUGUCAUUAACGUGCAGACAGAGGGGACAUGGGACGGGCUGAAAUGGAGAAAUAAUAGGCAAUUUAGCGGUGCGUGGAGAGAAGAGGGGGAUGAGAGGGAGGGCAGGGUCAUCCCUUGCUCUGUUUUAGGGGAUCCUUUUCUGUCAUCCCUGCAGAGCCACAGGCGGAUAAUGAGGAGUCGCCUGCAGCAUAAAUAGGCUUAAAAUAGAAAGAAGGAAUAAAUAACUUUAAUAGAAGAAGGAGGAGAGGGAUGAGGUAGGCGGCCCCAGUUCUCUGUCUAUCUCUCCACACGACAUGUCCCUCUGUCCUGCCUCUGUCCUUUUCUCCAAAUGCUUCUUUAGAAGGGCAACCAUUGGACAAGGGCACUUUUUGAACAGUCUAAAAGGCUGAUAAAAGUGUAGUUGUUUUUGGUUGGAUUACUCUGUUCAGGCAGUCUUUCUUGAAGUUCUCACUAGUGGUUCAGUAACUAUAAAGUUUGUCCUUAAUUUCUAAUUUGAUUUCACAACUUGUUCUUAAGACAACUUGGCUAGCAGGUUGUAAGGUCUCUAUAAUAAGAUGCGUAGUCACAUAAUAUGAGGUUUAACUUUAUUAAUCCAAUAAUAAUCUCCAAAUUUGUAAACAGAAGUAUUGCUAAGAAGCCAUGCAUUUCAAUUUUAUCUUCAAAGUUAAUGUUUUAAAGGGGUCAUCGGAUGCCCAUUUUCCACAAGUUGAUAUGAUUCUUCAGGGUCUUAAUGAAAAGUCUGUAACAUAGUUUGGCUAAAAUUUAUCAAUGGUUUACCCUGUCAAAAACAGCUCUUUUCAGAGCAAGCCGUUUUGUAGCAUUUUCCUUUAAAUGUUAAUGAGCUCUACUGACCCCGCCCCCUCUUCCGAGCCGCUCUCUAAGGGACUGUUUACUUUAGCCACAUUCAUUGUGAAACUUGCUAAUUAGCAGAUUAUUAGGAAAGGCAAUUUGCAAAGAUU